ensembl:snRNA U1 U1 spliceosomal RNA
AUACUUACCUGGCAGGGGAGAUACCGUGAUCAAGAAGGCAGUUGACCCAGGGCGAGGCUCAGCCAUUGCACUCCGGCUGUGCUGACCCCUGCGAAUUCCCCAAAUGUCGACUGCAUAAUUUCUGGUAGUAGGGGACUGCGUUCGCACUCUCCCCUG